UACGUAGGUGGCAAGCGUUGUCCGGAAUUAUUGGGCGUAAAGCGCGCGCAGGCGGUUCUUUAAGUCUGAUGUGAAAUCUCGCGGCACAACCGCGAGCGGUCAUUGGAAACUGGGGAACUUGAGUGCAGAAGAGGAGAGUGGAAUUCCACGUGUAGCGGUGAAAUGCGUAGAGAUGUGGAGGAACACCAGUGGCGAAGGCGGCUUUCUGGUCUGUAACUGACGCUGAGGCGCGAAAGCGUGGGGAGCAAACAGG
rnacentral:misc_RNA from 1 species